GAUGAACGCUGGCGGCGUGCCUAAUACAUGCAAGUCGAGCGAACAGACGAGGAGCUUGCUCCUCUGACGUUAGCGGCGGACGGGUGAGUAACACGUGGUUAACCUACCUAUAAGACUGGGAUAACUUCGGGAAACCGUAGCUAAUACCGGAUAAUAUAUUGAACCGCAUUGUUCAAUAGUUAAAGACGGUUUUGCUUUCACUUAUAGAUGGAUCCGCACCGCAUUAGCUAGUUGGUAAGGUAACGGCUUACCAAGGCGACGAUGCGUAGCCGACCUGAAAGGGUGAUCGGCCACCCGGGAACUGAGACACGGUCCAGACUCCGACGGGGGGCAGCAGUAGGGAAUCUUACGCAAUGGGCGAAAGCCUGACGGAGCAACGCCGCGGGAGUGAUGAAGGUCUUCGGAUCGUAAAACUCUGUUAUUAGGGAAGAACAAAUGUGUAAGUAACUAUGAACGUCUUGACGGUACCUAAUCAGAAAGCCACGGCUAACUACGUG
rnacentral:rRNA from 1 species